UACAGAGGGUGCAAGCGUUGUUCGGAAUUAUUGGGCGUAAAGGGCGCGUAGGCGGUGCCACAAGUCACCUGUGAAAUCUCCGGGCUUAACUCGGAGCCUGCAGGCGAAACUGUGGUGCUGGAGUGUGGGAGAGGUGCGUGGAAUUCCUGGUGUAGAGGUGAAAUUCGUAGAUAUCGGGAGGAACACCGGUGGCGAAGGCGGCGAUCUGGGUAGAUACUGACGCUGAGGUGCGAAAGCGUGGGGAGCAAACAGG
rnacentral:rRNA from 1 species